AGUGAACGCUGGCGGUAGGCCUAACACAUGCAAGUCGAACGGCAGCACAGUAAGAGCUUGCUCUUACGGGUGGCGAGUGGCGGACGGGUGAGGAAUACAUCGGAAUCUACUUUUUCGUGGGGGAUAACGUAGGGAAACUUACGCUAAUACCGCAUACGACCUACGGGUGAAAGCAGGGGAUCUUCGGACCUUGCGCGGAUGAAUGAGCGGAUGUCGGGUUAGCUAGUUGGCGGGGUAAAGGCCCACCAAGGCGACGAUCCGUAGCUGGUCUGAGAGGAUGAUCGGCCGCACUGGAGGUGAGACACGGUCCAGACUACUACGGGAGGCAGCAGUGGGGAAUAUUGGACAAUGGGCGCAAGCCUGAUCCAGCCAUACCGCGUGGGUGAAGAAGGCCUUCGGGUUGUAAAGACCUUUUGUUGGGAAAGAAAAGCAGCAGGUUAAUACCACGCUGUUCUGACGGUACCCAAAGAAUAAGCACCGGCUAACUUCGUG
rnacentral:rRNA from 1 species